UUGGAGGGCAAGUCUGGUGCCAGCAGCCGCGGUAAUUCCAGCUCCAAUAGCGUAUAUUAAAGUUGUUGCAGUUAAAAAGCUCGUAGUUGAACUUCGGGGUUCACCCAUUGGUCAGGCUUAAUUGUCUGUACUGGUGAGAUGAAUCUCUACCUUCUGAGGAACUUUCAUGCCAUUUAUUUGGUGUGAUGGGAAAUCAGGACUGUUACUUUGAAAAAAUUAGAGUGUUUAAAGCAGGCUAACGUCUGAAUACAUUAGCAUGGAAUAAUGAAAUAGGACGGAUUGAUUCUAUUUCGUUGGUUUCUAGGAUCACCGUAAUGAUUAAUAGGGAUAGUUGGGGGCAUUAGUAUUCAAUUGUCAGAGGUGAAAUUCUUGGAUUUAUUGAAGACUAACUACUGCGAAAGCAUUUGCCAAGGAUGUUUUCAUUAAUCAAGAACGAAAGUUAGGGGAUCGAAGACGAUCAGAUACCGUCGUAGUCUUAACCAUAAACUAUGCCGACUAGGGAUCGGACGAAGUUAAUUUUAUAAUGACGCGUUCGGCGCCUUACGGGAAAC
rnacentral:rRNA from 1 species